rnacentral:tRNA from 1 species
GCCGCCGUGGUGCAGAGGUUAGCAUGUCCGUCUAUGACGCCGAACGCCUGGGUUCAAAUCCCGGCGAGGACA